rnacentral:SRP_RNA from 1 species
GCUGGGCGUGGUGGUGCACGCCUGUAAUCCCAGCUACUUGGGAAGCUGAGGCAGAAGAAUCGCUUGAACCUGGGAAGUGGAGGUUGCAGUGAGCCGAGAUCGCACCACUGCACUCCAGCCUGGGUGACAGAGCGAGAUUCUGUCUCAA